GGGCGGUUAGCUCAGCGGGAGAGCACUGCCUUCACACGGCAGGGGUCGCUGGUUCAAUCCCAGCACCGCCCA
rnacentral:tRNA from 2 species